rnacentral:rRNA from 1 species
CGGACGGGUGAGUAACACGUGGAUAACCUACCUAUAAGACUGGGAUAACUUCGGGAAACCGGAGCUAAUACCGGAUAAUAUAUUGAACCGCAUGGUUCAAUAGUGAAAGACGGUUUUGCUGUCACUUAUAGAUUGAUCCGCGCCGCAUUAGCUAGUUGGUAAGGUAAUGGCUUACCAAGGCAACGAUGCGUAGCCGACCUGAGAGGGUGAUCGGCCACACUGGAACUGAGACACGGUCCAG